rnacentral:hammerhead_ribozyme from 1 species
AUCCAGCUGACGAGUCCCAAAUAGGGCGAAAUCUGCAUUCCGGAU